CUGGAUAUGAUGCAUCUAAAUAACCUGACUGACACUGAUGGUGUUUGUAUUCAUACUGUCUGAUCCAG
ensembl:snoRNA small nucleolar RNA SNORD41